AAUAUCCACAUCACCUUCUGAAGUCAUCCCCUCUCCAACAGAACACAAGAUUUUCUCCACUUCAUUAUCCUGGGCGAGUUCAUUUGCUGUGCUUGAAUUUCGGUUUGGAGAGGCUCUUGAUUUAUUAUCAGUACUGUCAUAAGAAAUACACAACUCAGUCUCUGAGUUUAGUGUCAUUCGACCAAGAUGGUCAACAUUGUUUUCUUGCUUCUGAAAAUUUUCAUUGGCAGAAAAUCUCAUCUGUGCAGUAACAAGGCUUUGCUCCCAAUCCCUUCCAGGACUGCCAAUGGGAGAGAAAUUGUACUCAGGAAGAGAAAGAAUCCUCCCUAGGGUUCUUGGAACCUGUGUGCUUGAAAAAUCCACAUCCCCAAUCCCAGUGGGAAGCAUCUCAGAGAGAUGCUUCUUGGCCUGGACAUAAAUGUUAGAUAAUCUUUCCUUGGGAUAAGUAGCAGCUUCAUGCUUCAAACCUGUUUCACAUUCUUUCAACUUGUCAUUCUUCUCUUCCUUUUUGACACCAGUUGGAGGCCUGGCAAUUUUUUCAAUAAAGAAGUGGUCCUUACUUGGAGAACUUCCAACAUUCUCUUUAUAUCUUUUAUCACUAUCUCCCCUAGCUUGAAGUUUGUUAGGUAAUCUCUUUGAAAUGCCAUCAGAAGCGAUCUC
rnacentral:misc_RNA from 1 species